CGAGAAGACGCGUUGCUAGGCGCCCGUCCGCGGCGAGGCCGCGGGGCGCUGGCGGAGGGCGGAGGGCGGGCAGCGCCUCCUCUCGCCUUCUUCUCCCUUCCUUCCGCCUGAUCCCCCAAAUCGGGUCCCCUGAACAGCUGCUUCGCAGAGACCCGAGACUGAAAACCCCUAGGACACCCGUUUGAGAAAUUCUGGCGACAGCAUCCAAGUCUGUGAAGUCAUGACGACGCCCUCCGAGCGAUAAGGACCUCCUCAGAUGAGACAUUUGGAUUUUGUAAUUGGGUCUUCACGGCCAGUUUUUUCGGAAGUGGGUGGCCAGGCCCCUCUUCCUGGUCUGUCUCAGUCUGGAAGCUCCGCUGAAACCUGUCACCAUGGGGGACCCUGCUGGUGUGUUAAACACCGGGGGCACAGCUUUCAGCAUCGCAGCGACACGCAGCCGUCAGAGUCCAAUACUUUUUAUCGAAAGUACACCUUACCUGUUAUACAAUGGACACCGCCACCAUGAUCAAGCUGGAGGACACUUCCAUCUCCCCAAAAGGCUCCCCUGUGCCCUUUGUGGCAGCUCCCUUCUGCUGACCCCCAACCACUGAUCCGAUUCUUGUCCCUAGACUGUUCCAUUUGGGGGAAUUUUGUAUAAAAAGAACUGUAUAGCAUUUGUUUUUGUCUGGUUUCUUUCUCUCAACAUGAGGAUUCUGUGGUUCAUCGGUGUGGCUGUGUGUCACUACUUCAUUCAUUUCCAUUGCUUUGUAAUAAUCCACUGUGUGACUCCAUCGCAAUUUGUUUAUCCACUCACCCGUCAGUGGGGAUCUGGGUUGUGCAGUCUGGGGUUCUCAGGAAUAAAGCUGCUAUGAAUAUUCCA